rnacentral:rRNA from 1 species
UUGGAGGGCAAGUCUGGUGCCAGCAGCCGCGGUAAUUCCAGCUCCAAUAGCGUAUAUUAAAGUUGUUGCAGUUAAAAAGCUCGUAGUUGAAUUUCGGGAUUAGUACGUCGGUCGUGCCUUAGGUACGUACUGGUGUUACUGGUUCCUACCUUCUGACGAACCAUCAUGUCAUUAAUUUGGUGUGGUGGGGAAUCAGGACUGUUACUUUGAAAAAAUUAGAGUGUUUAAAGCAGGCUCGCGCUUGAAUACAUUAGCAUGGAAUAAUGAAAUAGGACGUUGAUCCUAUUUUGUUGGUUUCUAGGAUUGACGUAAUGAUUAAUAGGGAUAGUUGGGGGCAUUAGUAUUCAAUUGUCAGGGGUGAAAUUCUUGGAUUUAUUGAAGACUAACUACUGCGAAAGCAUUUGCCAAGGAUGUUUUCAUUAAUCAAGAACGAAAGUUAGGGGAUCGAAGACGAUCAGAUACCGUCGUAGUCUUAACCAUAAACUAUGCCGACUAGGGAUCGGAUGAUGUUAUCUUUAAUGACUCAUUCGGCGCCUUACGGGAAAC